UCAUAAGUGCAAAAAAUACGAAGAAAAAUCCGCUGCUGUAUUGCACAGUGCCACAAGUCCUGCCGGCAUACAAUGCACAUUGUAAUGGAGACAUUUAAUUGUAUAACAAUUAUGAUUCAUUUAGGAUGGUCCCACGGCACCUGCGUAAGGAGGCGGAGGAGGGGUGCGGGCGGGGUGCCGCGGGCUACGUAAUCCCUCCGCAACGGCACUUCCUGAACGUGGCGCAAGGCUUGUGCGAAUGUCGGCCGAGCAUUUCGCGCCACUUUCGUAAUUCGUUGCGUGGACCGACCGACCGGCCGGCGCGGCCGCCCCGCAGGAAGUAAAAGUUCGAAGUAAUUCAGGAAACUGCGGCGGUAUGCGGGCGCCUUGUGAAACCCCGGCGUCGUCCCCGACUGCACCGACUGCCCGAAUGUCCGAGAACUCGACUGCCCGACCCGCCGCGUGAUACUUGUAUUUUACAUGUCUAGUUUUGGUCUGGUAUAGAAACUCGGCUUUAUAGGAAACAGUUUCACUGGCCGGCUAUGAAAACCAAGUGGGAGUAGAAAACUUCGGUCGAAUUCAAAGGAAGCCGGAAGCCGGAAAAGCGGCAAGGGUUAGACCGGAGACGAGGCCCGUUUCCGGCGGAAGUGUGGCGCCAGGAAGGGGCUCGUACUGCCAGCGUGGGAAAGCGGCAGUCAGGUGGUAACACAUGUGGCCCGCUCCUGUUCUCCGGAUUGUUUAAAAAUAAUAUUGAACAAAACACAUUCGUGUGCACUAAGAUAUGGUGUCGUCUUCGCGGGGGUCAUACUUACACCUAUCGUGCUACCGAGCACGGUGGUCCAUAACUUAUUUAUAUAUACCCACAACGAACUUUACACCACGUUCUAUACCCUCAAUUAAUUUAAAACCACCGAUUUUUACUACGUACUUUUAGUGUAUACGGUAAAGAUAAGUGGCGAAGUACAUCUAUAAGAUUGCUACAAUAAUUUUUACUACUCAUUAAAUAUUAAAUCUACCUUAUUUUGAUCUGUUAUAUAUUACCUCUACUACUAUCUUAUCAUGGGAAG